rnacentral:rRNA from 1 species
GACGAACGCUGGCGGCGUGCUUAACACAUGCAAGUCGAACGAAGAGCGAUGGAAGCUUGCUUCUAUCAAUCUUAGUGGCGAACGGGUGAGUAACGCGUAAUCAACCUGCCCUUCAGAGGGGGACAACAGUUGGAAACGACUGCUAAUACCGCAUACGAUCUAAUCUCGGCAUCGAGGAUAGAUGAAAGGUGGCCUCUACAUGUAAGCUAUCACUGAAGGAGGGGAUUGCGUCUGAUUAGCUAGUUGGAGGGGUAACGGCCCACCAAGGCGAGGAUCAGUAGCCGGUCUGAGAGGAUGAACGGCCACAUUGGGACUGAGACACGGCCCAGACUCCUACGGGAGGCAGCAGUGGGGAAACUUCCGCAAUGGACGAAAGUCUGACGGAGCAACGCCGCGUGAGCGAUGACGGCCUUCGGGUUGUAAAGCUCUGUUAAUCGGGACGAAAGGCCUUCUUGCGAAUAGUGAGAAGGAUUGACGGUACCGGAAUAGAAAGCCACGGCUAACUACGUG